UAGAGGAUGUGAACGACAGUGACAUCCUAAUGCAGGAGUAGCAGCGACGACGGCUGGUGAGCAGCAACCUGAGGUGCCGGUGUUAAGCGCGGAUGGCCAGAUCUGUGCGGCGGAGGGCGUGGCCAAUGCUAGGAUGGAGGUCUUGCUUCCGGCCAACAAGUAGUCGGUAGGCGCAAUGGAUCCUAAAGCUCCAGGCUGGAUCAAAAGGGUGAGGAUUGGGGUGGAAGCACCUGUGAGGACACCUUGUCCCAGUCAAGCACGAGCUGGCGGAGGUGACGCCGCAUAUGUUAUCCAGGAUCCUGCUCGGGGGUUUAGCCAUCGGCGACGAGAUCCAAAAGAUGGCCACGGCGGCAGUGGUGGCGGCAGUUGCCCCGGGUGGUGAUGUAGAGGGGAGGUACCAGUAGCAGGUUGUGGCCAAAAACCCUAUUGCUAGCACUUGCAGGAAAGCUCAACAAAAACCAAAAGGCGCGGCCGUUGGUGGCUUUCUGGUGGUACCUCAAGGAGACCUUCUUCCAAGGUGACCCAUUCCAUGUGGCGGUGCCGGUGCGUGAGCGAGCUGCUAGACCGCACGUGGCGGCGGCGCUUCGAUACUUCUUCCCGUUCCUGGAGUGGGCGCCAGCCUACGGCCUGGGCACCUCAAGUCGGACCUCAUCGCCGGUACUUCUUCUGGUUCCUUGAAGUUUGAUAUCCAUGCCCCCCUUGUUAGAGCGGUGGAGAGAGAUGCGACAUGGAGUGAGGGAAUUGUCGGCACCGGCAUAAGAGGUUGAUCUCCGCCCCGGUUUCCUCUAUGAUUACAUCAAGGAUGUAUUUUGUUGCUUGUUGGUUCUGUGUGUGGGAGCUCGAUGAUUGGGGGAGUUUAGAUCUGUGGUUUCAUUCUCAAAUUCUAUCCGUAUGGAUUGAGAUAGAGAUGAGAAGGUAGGUCCCUUGUUCAUGUAGGUUUUCUCUGUACCACUAAAUGUUUUUUUGAUUUUUUCCAUGUAGGUUCUCUCUGAUUUUGCAUUAGUCUAUACGUUCUUAGUCUUCAUUCUUUUAUUUUCAGUUUAUGAGAUUUUAGUAUUUGAUUCACUUAUUCUAGGUUUGGCAGGUAUUCAGUAUAUCUGUUCUUAUUAUUCAAUUUUUUAUUUCUCAGAUUAGGAUUUUAGUACCUUUUCUUUUAUUAGUCAUCAGUUUUCUUCUUUAUUCAAUCAUAUUCAGCCUUAGUUCUUGUUCAGUCUUUCUUUAACUUCUUUUGUCCUUAGUCUCCAGUUUUCCUCUUUCUUCAGUCAUAUUCAGUCACACUUUGUUCAGUCUUUCAUUAUCUACUUCAGUCUGUAGUACUCCUUGUGCAUAUAUACUUUGUUUUGCUCAUUCUUCUUUCUUAGCUUUGUUCUCUCAUUUUGUAUCGGCACAACCAAUAAUUCACAAGAUCAUCUAAUCCACAUAGGCAAAGGAAGAUUUUUCGUAGUAAAAUUCAGUAUAGUGGAGGGAAAGGAAGGUUUUUCGUUGUAAAAUUCACUACACUAGAGGGAAAAAGUUUCAAUGUUAUUAUCUAAUUGUUUCAUGGUUUUCUUAGUCAUGACUUUCUUUUCUCUACCAGCUUUAGGGGAGGUCCAUCUAAUUUGACUUUGCCCUGGGCUGUCUGCAGGUGGGCUAAACAACCAGAUUUGGUGGAUUAGUUGGACUUGUAAAUAUUUUUUUUCUGAUCCCAACACACUUUAUAUAGAGAAAUAGUAUUUCUUCAUAUUGUUACUUUUUUGUUUGCUUUUGUGCUUAUUGCUCAUAAUGUUAAAUGUUUGUUAGGCUGCCAACAUAUAUUAUUAGCACAUUGUAGUUCUUUUCAGUAAAUCUUCAAUAUCUUCUUUCUCUGGUCACCUUCAGUGCACAUGUUUCUUCAUUAUUUCAGUAACUACCUUCUCAUUGUUCCGCCUUCAUUUCUCAAAUCCAUGCUUAUCAGUUAUCCCUCUGUAUGCAUCAGUGAUCAAUAUUUCUCUUCAGCCUCAUUAUUUCUUUUCGAGAGUACGCCAAAGGCUUACCUUAGCUUUAUAGAAGGAAGGAAUAAUAUUUACAAGUCAGCCUCAUUAUUUCAUUAAGUCCCUGCUCUACCCAGCCUUCAUAAAUUCAAUAUGCCCCUGCGCAUUAUGUAUAGACUUUUUUGAGCAUUCUUAUUUUUUAUCUUUUUGUUUCACCAGGAGGUUUUAUUACUAACCAGAUGAAUUUUCUUCUCCCACUUCUUCAAGGAAGAACAAGGUUCCAACUUCAUUUUAGCGCACGUUGUUUCAGAUGUGUUAUGUAAUAGUACUACAUAGAAGAGUUUUUUGCUUCAAGAAGUGUUAUGUUAUUACUAUGUAUUUUCUGAAAAUAGGUCGUUCUGUUCUGUUUUUUUUUCACUAGACAUGAUGCUAUUUGUGCUUCUUUAGCAGUGACACCAUAGUCAGUUUGCAUUUUCUGUCUUUUAGCUACCCUAAGCCUUUGAUUUGUUUGUACCAUUAGGCUGUAGGGAAAUAUUACUAUAUGUAACAUGUAUUUUCUUUUGUUCUUAUAAGAUGUUGUUUCUCAUUUCUGAAAUUUAUUUCUUGAUGUAGCUUCAUUCGGAUUUAUGUGAAUAUAAGCGUAAGAGAUCCACUGGGAAUGAUACAAAAUAAUUUCAGACGUGAGUAUCCGGAUCGCAUUGCUACUGGUUGUCUCUUGCGAUUGCGUACAGCAGGCUUUUGACAAAGCCAAGUCAUCGCCUCAUGAGGAUGCUUUUGGAUUAACUGUAGUGCAUUGUACCGUUUUAUGCUCCAUGCGAGAGUUGUACAUAUCCUCAUUAGAUGUAUCCCUGCCUAUGAUGGUUCUAAACUCAAAUAUUAUAGUAUCUGUAUAUUUGAUCAAUGUGGUACUAUUAUAUCCUAAUGUUAUAACAUAUAUGCCCGUAUUGAUAUACAUG